UACUUUUUAAUAUAAAGUAAUAUCAUCAUCAUUCAUAAUAAUUUUUAGAUUAUUAUACAAUUUAUUGCAGCUAAAGAGAGAAAUGGUAGAUCCAGGCAAUGAUAUAUGUACUUUAAUGUUAAAAACGCCAACAUUCAAGUAAUGAAGAGAAGGAAACUAAUCAAGCUGUUACAGCGAUUGUAAAAUUCUAUGCGUCGGCGAAUUUCAUGGAUGUUCAACCUAAUAUUUACAAAAAUUGAAAAGUUUCAGAGAUACUUGUAUUUUCUUGCACGAUAGGUGUGACUAUAAGCAUGGAUGGCAAUUGAACAAGGAAUUGCAGGCUGGUGAUUAUAAAAGUAUGAAAUCAAUUCAGAUGAAGAUGAUUUUUUAUUCAAAUGUUACCUUUGCACGGAAAGUUAUAUGAAUCCUAUAAUCAAGGAACAGUACAAAAACACUACGAGACGAUUUAGAAAAAAACAACGAAACCAACAAAACCAAUUUAUAAUUAUAAAAUCCUAU